rnacentral:lncRNA from 1 species
AAUCAUCUCCCAUUGAAAGCUGAAUCAUGAGGAUACCAUCUCCAAGCAGGUGGAGUAUUUGAUCCCUUUAGCAAGGCAGUGAUUUUGAAAUUCGGGUUUAGACAAAAAGAUAUUUCAAGCUCCUGAAGAACAAGUUUGAAGGAUUCAGAGCAGAGAAUUGCACCCUGGCAUGAUGCCUAUGCCAGCUGGACUGUGUGAUUUUUGUUCUUUAGUAGAAGGAUAACAUGACAUAGCAGGAAUAAUACUGCCUUUUCUUUCUGGCAUGGAUCAAGAGAAAAGAAAAUACAAGAAAACAGACAGAAGCAAGGCAAGGUACUUCUAUGGAAGGGUGAGCCCUCACAGAUGGAGCAAUGGGGCGCGCACACCUGAACAAGGGAGGGGAAGGAGUUCUUAUCCCUGAUGCAUGUGACCCCUGCUGCUGUGUCCUUCCCCUAUUGGCUAAGGUUAGACCACACAGCCUAAACUAAUUCCGAUUGGCUAAUUCAAAGAGAGCGACGGGGGCUUCUGACAGCUUUGGAGAUUGUGACAUUGGAAUAAAGGAAAAACGUACAGGACUCAUGAAGCGCUGAAAUGUUCACAAAUAUCAAGCAAAAGUCAAUGAAAUUUAUUUUGAGCUAUUUACAUCAUUUAAUAAUUGAGCAAGGUAUACUCCUAUGAACAAAAUUUGGAGCAUGUUUGUCUCUCUCUGCCUGGCGUCUUCAGAAUUUGGAAACUAGUUAGUCAUGGAAAUUUAUUUUGAGCUAUUUACAGCAUUUAAUAAUUGAGCAAGGUAUACUCCUAUGAACAAAAUUUGGAGCAUGUUUGUCUCUCUCUGUCUGCCUGGCAUCUACAGAAUUUGGAAACUAGUUUCGUUCCCAGAUUUCCUAAACUUUCCAGAGAAAAUGGUCUUCUCCCUGGCUCAGCAAGAAGAUGAACUUUAAACACUGAGAAACUGGUCAUCUCCCUGGCUCAACCAGAAGAUGAACUUUAAACACUACUCUCAAUGACUUGAUGUUCCCAUCACUACUCCUGUCAUAAAGGGAGGGGACUCAGAUAUUGAGAAUUUUAUGAUAGUGUGAACUGUCUGGUAUGUCAUUUAAGUAAGCCCGUUGCUGAAAUAUUUUCCAUGUUAUUAGAAAGAGCUGAAGAGAGGGAUUGAGAUGGCUUCUUUAUUUUUUGUCUUUUGGGAAUUAAAGGAACCUGGUUCAACAAGGGCCUACACCUAAGUCUCUUGUUGUACCAGAGUACAAUUUAGGACUGCUCCUGAGGAAGGAAUUAGCUAGAAAUCUAGAGAGUAAGGGUAACAGAUUUACAUAGAAUAACAGCCUCAGUAUUUUUGGUUCCUCUCCAGUAAAGAUCACAAAGAAUAUUGCUAAAUCGCUAAAACACCUUUGCAAUAACGUAAGGGCUUACAACUAUAUACCAAUGUAGCUCAGUUACUAAACUGGAGUAAACUAAUUUCUCUUGUGUAGAAAAAUUGGUUGGCUGUGGUUUUAUAGCAGAUCUGCAAUUAUUAAUAGUUAUGCCAAUAAUCGUUUAACAGUGCAUAUGUUAAUAUAUAUGGAAAGACAAUGUGUAUAGACAGAUGUGUAAAAUUGAAAAAUAAACAUAUAACAAGAGAGAAACAUCUAUCGAACAGACAAUAUACAUACACAUCAAACACAACAGCAGUUUUAGUGACCAUAAUAUUUAUUUCUCAUUUUUACAUUGCUUACUUUAGUGACAACUGAAAAUGACAGUUGGCAAUGCAGCUAACAGUUUCAAUAAAAGUAUAAAACAAAAGACUGUGUACAAAGCACCUGUCUUUCCGCUUUUGUAAUCUUCCGUUGGAAAAAAUUUACACACCUAAGUAACCAUCUGUUUUCUUCAAGAAAAAAUCAUUCUUAUUUCUCUCUCUCAUCUUGAAAACAGCUGUCAGCCAGGAGGGCAGAGCUGAAAUUUAUUGCCACAUCACAUGAAGCAUAGAACAGACUCCACUACUCCUUGAGAUUCAAAACUUUGCCUCUCACAAAGUUACCUUUUAUUUUCCUCUUGUUUGUCACUCAUCUCCCCUAGUGUGCUCUUUUUAUUUCUUUUACUAUUAAUAAUAAAAUCUGUGGAUGACUGUAUUAUUGAAUGAUUACC